CCCAGAUGAAGGGAAAAACUUAACUGAACGAAAGAAUAAGAAUUACCAUCCUGACACUGGGUUUGCUUAGGUAUGUUAGGAAAAAAUCCACAUAGGCUAGACCUAAAACAGUAAAUGAGCCUACUAAUUUCCCACAGGGGAUGGGAAAUCCACUGAUACAGACACCUCCAAGAGCUCCCAAGACCUAGGGAUCACAACCACCACAGGUAUUCCCAUAACUUCCUUUUCCCUCCCUUUUCCCUCAGCUAUUUUACUGCUAAAAGAAGAGGAUGGGAACAAAAGAUCACUUCCCCA
rnacentral:lncRNA from 1 species